rfam:Salmo salar isolate Sally breed double haploid chromosome ssa05, whole genome shotgun sequence.
AUAUAUAACUACUGUAAGUCGCUCUGGAUAAGAGCGUCUGCUAAAUGACUAAAA